rnacentral:rRNA from 1 species
GACGAACGCUGGCGGCGUGCUUAACACAUGCAAGUCGUACGGGAUAAUUUGAGAGCUUGCUCUUAGAGAUCUAGUGGCAAACGGGUGAGUAACACGUAGACAACCUGCCGACAGGAUGGGGACAACAUUCCGAAAGGAAUGCUAAUACCGAAUGAAGCGGAGGAGAGGCAUCUCUCUUCCGUGAAAGAUGGCCUCUGAAUAUGCUAUCACCUGUCGAUGGGUCUGCGUCUGAUUAGCUGGUUGGUGAGGUAACGGCUCACCAAGGCGACGAUCAGUAGCCGGUCUGAGAGGAUGAACGGCCACAUUGGGACUGAGACACGGCCCAGACUCCUACGGGAGGCAGCAGUGGGGAAUCUUCCGCAAUGGGCGCAAGCCUGACGGAGCAACGCCGCGUGAGUGAAGAAGGUCUUCGGAUCGUAAAGCUCUGUUGAUGGGGACGA